UGGGAGAUCGUCUAAUGGUAGGACAACAGAUUCUGGAUCUGUUUAUCGGGGUUCGAAUCCCUGUCUCCCAG
rnacentral:tRNA from 1 species